rnacentral:lncRNA from 1 species
CUCCUGAAAAAGUUCCUGUAGUUCACUGGGAUCAAUCUGGGUGGCAAGAGGUUGAUAGCCUUGUCUCGAAGGGCCUCCAAAUGGGUUCCUCCCAAAUCCACUCCCAUCAAUGGAUCCAUAAGACAUUUUCUAAAUAGCAGUGGAUGCAGGAUUGUACUUUAAACCCACGCUUCUAUCCCCUUGUGAUGUGGAGCCACCGGUUUGGCACAAGGCAGCAGCAGCAGCACAACAGACCAAAAGCUGGUUGCCUCAGUGGCUUCUCUGCCGCCGCGCGCCCGCGCCGUGCUGCCGGCACCCAAAC